GCGCAAGCCUGAUGCAGCCAUGCCGCGUGUAUGAAGAAGGCCUUCGGGUUGUAAAGUACUUUCAGCGGGGAGGAAGGUGUUGUGGUUAAUAACCACAGCAAUUGACGGUACCCAAGAAGAAAGUCCCGGCUAACUACGUGCCAGCAGCCGCGGUAAUACGUAGGGGACAAGCGUUGUCCGGAUUUACUGGGCGUAAAGGGCACGCAGGCGGUUUUUUAAGUCAGAUGUGAAAGGUACCGGCUCAACCGGUGACAUGCAUUUGAAACUGAAAGACUUGAGUAUUGGAGAGGCAAGUGGAAUUCCUAGUGUAGCGGUGAAAUGCGUAGAUAUUAGGAGGAACACCGGUGGCGAAGGCGGCUUGCUGGACAAAUACUGACGCUGAGGUGCGAAAGCGUGGGGAGCAAACA
rnacentral:rRNA from 1 species